rnacentral:rRNA from 1 species
GACGAACGCUGGCGGCGUGCCUAAUACAUGCAAGUCGAGCGAGUCUGCCUUGAAGAUCGGAGUGCUUGCACUCUGUGAAACAAGAUACAGGCUAGCGGCGGACGGGUGAGUAACACGUGGGUAACCUGCCCAAGAGAUCGGGAUCACACCUGGAAACAGAUGCUCAUACCGGAUAACAACAGAUGAUGCCUACCAACUGUUUAAAAGCUGGUUCUGCUCUCACUCUUGGAUUGACCUGCGGUGCAUUAGCUAGUUGGUAGGGUAACGGCCUACCAAGGCGAUGAUGCAUAGCCGAAGUGAGAGACGGAUCGGCCACAUGGGGACUGAGACACGGCCCAAACUCCUACGGGAGGCAGCAGUAGGGAAUCGUCCACAAUGGACGCAAGUCUGAUGGAGCAACGCCGCGUGAGUGAAGAAGGGUUUCGGCUCGUAAAGCUCUGUUGUUGGUGAAGAAGGACAGGGGUAGGAACUGACCUGUGUUUGACGGUAAUCAAUUAGAAAGUCACGGCUAACUACGUG